UACGUAGGGUGCAAGCGUUGUCCGGAAUUAUUGGGCGUAAAGAGCUCGUAGGCGGUCUGUCGCGUCGGAUGUGAAAAUCCAGGGCUCAACCCUGGACCUGCAUUCGAUACGGGCAGACUAGAGUUCGGUAGGGGAGGCUGGAAUUCCUGGUGUAGCGGUGAAAUGCGCAGAUAUCAGGAGGAACACCGGUGGCGAAGGCGGGUCUCUGGGCCGUGACCGACGCUGAGGAGCGAAAGCGUGGGGAGCGAACAGG
rnacentral:rRNA from 1 species